rnacentral:rRNA from 1 species
UACGGGGGGGGCAAGCGUUGUUCGGAAUUACUGGGCGUAAAGGGCUUGUAGGUGGCCAACUAAGUCAGACGUGAAAUCCCUCGGCUUAACCGGGGAACUGCGUCUGAGACUGGAUGGCUUGAGUGUUGGAGAGGGAUGCGGAAUUCCAGGUGUAGCGGUGAAAUGCGCAGAUAUCAGGAGGAACACCAAUGGCGAAGGCAGCUCGCUGGGACGGUACUGACGCUGAGACGCGAAAGCGUGGGGAGCGAACAGG